rnacentral:lncRNA from 1 species
AUUCAUGCGAGACAUGAAAUAAUUGUUACAGCUGUAAGCUCAUUAGAAAAGUUUAUGCUGAAGAUAAUUCAGAAUUAUUUAUAAUUUUGUGCCCUGAUUGUAAUUUCAUUUGGAAGGAUAUAUUUGCUAUUGGAAGAGUUUUAGUGAAUGCAUCACGUUCGCAUAUAUAUUCGAGGAUCCUAAACCCUUGUGAUACCGACAUUGUAUUUUACAAAGGAACUCGCAUGUUAUUGAUGUGUUUCCCUCAGUUUUAGUUUGUAACCCGGAUUUGGUUUUGUUUUAAUCGAAUUAUGACUUUCGAACAGCG